CAAGCUAAAUGCUGUAUUCAUUCCAAAUGAAAAGAACUAGACUGCUGAUUGUACUGUAGGAUAAGGAGGAAGGCAGUAAAGCUGCAGUAUAUCCUUGAAGCGUGUCAAAGUGCCAUAAACACUAAACAACUUAAUUUUCCAUUCCAGAAAAUCAGCAGUCAUCAAGACAGCACUUGGUAAAACAUUUAAGAUUUGUGAUAAUAACAAGUACU
rnacentral:lncRNA from 1 species